GUGGAGGUGAUGAACAGGGACAGAGAGAGGGAUAGAGUGGAGGUGAUGAACAACAGAGAGAGGGAUAGAGUGGAGGUGAUGAACAACAGAGAGAGGGAUAGAGUGGAGGUGAUGAACAACAGAGAGAGGGAUAGAGUGGAGGUGAUGAACAACAGAGAGAGGGAUAGAGAGAGGAUAGAGUGGAGGUGAUGAACAACAGAAGCUGGCGCAGUAGUAGUAGUUAAUACGAAUCGGACAGUUCUGACAGCUGC